CAGAAACUACAAAGGAAGUUGACGGGGCCCGCACAAGCGGUGGAGUAUGUGGUUUAAUUCGAUGCAACGCGAAGAACCUUACCUGGUCUUGACAUCCUGGAGACCCUUAGGAAACUAGGGGGUGCUUCCAUCUGGAAGAAUCUGGAGACAGGUGCUGCAUGGCUGUCGUCAGCUCGUGUCGUGAGAUGUUGGGUUAAGUCCCGCAACGAGCGCAACCCUUGCCUUUAGUUGCCAGCAGUUCGGCUGGGCACUCUAAAGGGACUGCCGGUGUUAAACCGGAGGAAGGUGGGGAUGACGUCAAGUCCUCAUGGCCUUUAUGACCAGGGCUACACACGUACUACAAUGGCCGAUACAAAGGGCAGCGACACUGCGAGGUGAAGCCAAUCCCGUAAAAUCGGUCUCAGUCCGGAUUGGAGUCUGCAACUCGACUCCAUGAAGUUGGAAUCGCUAGUAAUCGUGGAUCAGCAUGCCACGGUGAAUACGUUCCCGGGCCUU
rnacentral:rRNA from 1 species